rnacentral:tRNA from 1 species
GGCACCAUAGCCAAGCGGUAAGGCAGAGGUCUGCAAAACCUUUAUCCCCCGGUUCGAUUCCGGGUGGUGCCUCCA